GGUGUAUGAGACAAUUCCUGUACUGAGGGCCCGCUUUGCGCAGCGAGGGGAGACACGCUACCCUCGGAUGCAUCAUUGGAGAUCAUCGCCAGCGGAGAGAUGUCCCACUGGGAAGCAGUUAUCGGCCCUCCUCGACAAUCCUCAGGGAAGUAUUAUGCAUUUGUGAUUUAUAUUAUACGUAGUUUAAAAUUUUGUUUAUAUGAUCGUUAAAUAGUUGAAAUGUCAAUAUGUCAGCUUGAAGUCAUACCUGAGUUGACGCCGUCGAUGGAAAAGGAGGCUCGGGGUCUUGUGCGGGAUUUAGGCGUUCCGCACACCCUAGACGAGGAGAUGUCUGAUCCGAGCUUGGACCGAGAUUGGGUAUGUGAAUAAAAUAUAAUUUAUUGAAUAUCGUCAACGUAUAAAUUUAUUGAAUAAUUUUUAAUUUUAUUUAUGUAGGAGGGCGGUUCAGCUGAUCGAUGAUCACCUUCGCCGAGGGCAUCGUCGCCACCAUUGGCAUCACCUCCGCCAAGAGUAUCGUCCCCGCCAUUGGCAUCACCUCCGUCGAGGGCAUCAUCGCCGCUAGUGGCAUCACCUCCGCCGGGGCCAUCGUUGCCGCCAUUGGCAUCACCUCCGUCCAGACAUCUCCCCCGUGUAUCUCCAGGGCACAGUGAUGAUUUGUAUGCCCAUUUGACUGGAUUUAUAGCGGAGGAGGUCGGCGCGCUACGACGAGAUUUGACGGAGAGGGUCGAUGAUCUAGGACGAGAGUUGAUGGGGAGGGUCGACGAUCUGGCAGGGAGGGUCGACGAUCUGGCAGGGAAGGUCGACGAUCUGACAAGAAGGGUAAGAGACAUGCUGUUGACGAGACGUAGCAGGUGGUCGGCAAGAGGUUGAGAGUGCCGUCACAGUAUGUUGUUUCCCCCUUCACGGCUGAGGCCAAGAGGAGGACGUUCAUCGAUGAGACGUAGCCGAACUUAUUCAGAGAGGUGGACAAUGUCAAGUGGAAAGCGUUCGAGACAGAGUGGAGGAGAAUUAUCCCUGGGUAAGUAUUGUAUGAUUUUAAUAAAGCACUGUACGCUAACUCGUCUACGCUUAUUUUAACAUUUCCCUAUUUUUUACAGAGUUAGCCGCACGAUAGGUCAAAGGACGGUCUCGGACCCUUCCAAGUGAUUCCACGAUAUCACCACUGCGGGAGCUUGUCUCGCUGACGAUGUAAGUGAACUAUUCAUUUCGUGUUUUUUAUGUAUAUGUGACAUUGUGUUUAUUAAAUGAAUAACUCAUACUUUUUUUGUGUUUCCCGCUGCAGCACAUCGACCUGGCCAUGGACUUGCUACGAGAUCGAGCUCAAAGACAUCCAAAAUCAUUUGAUGUACAUGGUCGAGUCAUACUAAACACCGAGUUCCUGCGUGCCAUUACCAUAGAGUAUCAGUCGCUCGAAUUUACGGGUAACGAGUACACGGUGCCAGAAUAUAUGCUCGAGUGGGUGAUAGGACUGUCACCGAGUAUCGGGGGAAAAUCAUGGGAGGGUUUUACACAUAUGUACUAUGUUACACUGGAGAUCGUAUUUGUUGACUCGACUAUAUAUGUGUACGACCCAGAUCAUUCAUAUUUGACACAAGGCCAGUUGAAGCAAAACCUAGAGUCCGUGGCUGUAAUUGUUCCUAUGAUGGCCAAACGAGUGGGGAUAAAUGUACAUGACAGAUUGCGGAUCGUUCGAAACAUGACGACAGUGCGACAAUCCGUAAGGUAAGUGUUUGAACUUUAUUAUUUUCAUAUUUCAGAUUUAGUUUUUAUUUACACAGUACUGAACUGAUUCAUUCUUGUUCAAUUGCAGCAGCGACUGCGGCAUAUUUGCCAUUAAGUACGUUGAAUUUUUAGAUAUAGGAUAUAUGGUUGAUGAAAUCAACCAGUCGUGGAUACAGAACUGGAAAAAGAAGU
rnacentral:lncRNA from 1 species